rnacentral:lncRNA from 1 species
ACUCAGAAGUGUGUCUCAAGAUUCUUUCAGAAAAAAUAUCUGAUAAAACUCAACAAUUCUGUAUUGAAGUGCCUGACUUACUUCUAGUCCUGAUGAAUUUUGGUACUGUUCAAAGCAACUUUUGGCCUGUGGCUUUGGACAUUUCUUUUCCUUUUCCAUUUCUCCGCCCAUUCCGGAAAUUUUCCAUGAACAGUUUCGAUUCGGAAAAACAUCAUGUCCCUUUCCCUCGCUUGAAUUUGGAGAAAAUAUUGUCUCUCUUGAGUUUCAAUGUGAAAACAUAUCCCUAUUUUUCCGAGAACGAGAAAAUUGGAAUGUGCAACCUCUUGCUAAACCUUUACAUGGCCAAUUUUAUAGCUGGAGACACUUUUCUAACUCUCAAAAUCAGAGACAUUAUAUCACGUAUACUUGAAAGUUUUACAGUAGAGGAAUGGAGUGAACUUAAUUUCAAAAUGUAUUGAAGAACUUAUUUUGCAGUGUUGGAUUGAGAACCUGUAACCUACAGCGAUGGUUCAACGAAUUACGUACAGUAUAUACCAACAACUACAAGCAGUGGAGCAACUACAAGCUGUCGGUUCAUCAGCGAUGGACUCGAGUAAACGACGAGCAAUGGUCGUUUGCCGAAGGGCUUCUUCCGCCAAGGCAAGAAAUUGACUCAUCUUCAUCAGGUUUAUUGCAGCAACUUGAGAGAAUUCACUUGAAAAGAUGCAGGGCACAUACUAACAUGUGUUGUAUUUUUCUGAAUUAUGUUUUGAUUGAGCAGUAGAUAGCAAUUAACUUUAGUUUAUUGCAUUAAUGUUGGAAGGUUUAUUGAAAUAUUUCCUUUAGAUUCAACAUGACUGUUCGAUGACAAAGUUAGUUGGAAACCUAACUCAAAUACCGAUAACCUUUGCUGCAGCUGCCUUACAGCCACAAGCAGGAAAAUUAUUCUUUUCCUCAGAAAGUUGUUUUAUUUUUUGUCCUGAAUCCCCUAUACUUUCUUUUAAUAUUAGAGAUUUUUAUGUUGAAUAAGUUAACGAAAGUUUGAAAUUGCUAACUAAAUCAUUUGUAUGAUGUGUCAUAGGGAAAGCUGCUGGAGUAAUCUAGUGUUCAUCCUCUUGAUUCAUUUCGUGUCAGCUAGCAGCUAGUGAAAGGCGUAACGAUUCGAGUUGAGCUGCUGCCGCUGCGUGCUGUCUGCAAGAACGCAUCAAAUUAGCUGUCGCUAGGUGGCUUAAAAUGAUUUCCACUAGGUUGCGCGAGUGUCUUCACUCUUCAGGGAUAAAUGUGUUAUGGUCGUGACGUUUCUCAUGAUGAAAAUGAAAAGGUCCAAUGCAACAUUAAAAAUGUCAUUCUUUUGGACUGCAUAGUGUUGUCUUACUCCUGGUAUUCUAUGGUCAUAAUGAGUCCUGCAUGUAAUUGUGUACACACUGUGUUUCCUGAUGGUAAUCUUAAUAUUUUCUUAAAUAGGUCCGCUGCUGGUUACUUUGUUGCAGACAGCUGGGGAUAGGUGUUCCUUUUGCAGGUGUGCUACUGGUACUGGUAGUAAUUUUCGUCAUGUACAGAAACAAUUCUUAAGCAGGAUGUUGAAGAUCUUUCCUUUCUCCACGUGGUUGCUGACGUGUCAUGAAGAUGUGUUUUUGGGAGGGUCUCUACUAUAUUGCAAGACAAAAGUGUGAUGAAAACAGGAAAUCUGAAAUGGUGUCCAUCUUUCUUAAUAGCCCACAUUUCUACUUGACAGCUCUACCAAUGUGUUUAACAGCAUAAGAAGUUAAUCAAUGAUGCCAAGCUUCUAAGGACUUACAAACGAAAAUGUUUCUCAUUUCACAGUAAUGGUGAUCCCAAAGAAUAUGACCAUUGAAGAUUUAGUUCUCUAUGCAGAGACAAAACGAUAGUUGGCUGAAAACAAUUGGAUGUACAUGGCUAAUUUUAUCGUCAUAUAAAUAGGGUGGUGGACAUGUUACAAAAUUUUUCCACAAGAAUGCAGAAAACUUAUCAAAUCAAUUACUAGAUGACCUUUUUAUAUCUUCCUUUUUACUCCUAUCAUUUGGGUUUAAAUAGUGACGAACUGACAGGUGGAUGGUGGCAGCAUAUUUGAUACAGGGAUCCACUCUUUCUUAUAGGCUAAAGCAUCUGACAGAAGUUAUCCAAAAUAGGCAACUUGUGUGUAUUACGUUUCAGAUGGUUUCGAUUCCGACUAGUCCGGUGCAUCAGUGGGCCCUCUUCCGACAAACCCAGAUUAAAUCGGAUGAGAUUUCUGGCGAUGACAAUAGAACAGGAUGCAUAUUCGGAAGUCAUGGGCUGUCUGAUGGGCCCGCAACACGUCCAGCAGCCACAUUGAGACUCGGAAACGUUUGUCGGUUCUUCGUUGCCGACGUCGGCCGUCUUGACUGAGUUACAUCACGCUACCUGGACAAUUCCCGACUCUUCACUCGCUUCGACGACAACAAAGAAUUUUUUCCGGUUCCAAAGUUUAUUGUGUUUCGUCGGUGGACCACACAUUUUGAGUCAUCGUUAUUAUGAUGCAUUUGCCUAUAAUAGUGAAGCAGGAGCGAUAACUGGGAGCAGCUGCCGGAUGAUUCUGGAACCACGAACUUACUCUUCCGUUUGGUGUUCCGAUUCGCCAGUUAUUUGUUUGGUCGUUUGCAUCGCAACCGACUGAAACAUCACCGCAAUGAACCGAAACUAUGAGAUGCUAUUUUGUUGCCGGGAGUAAUCAAAGAUAUCCUAUCAGUGCUGGAUCGUGGAUAGAAUCAUUCGUUCGGCUGAAGAAUAUCUCGAUUCUUUCGAAUGACCUGGCCCAACAAUUCACAGAUAUCGCCGGGAUCAACUCGCUUAUUCAAUCCCGCCAUAUUGGGAUCCAGCAAAGAAAACUUUUACUCCUCAGCUGAAUGUUGUCCACCAUUCAACAACGGAUGCCACUGCUUCUAGUCAAUCUGCUGGACCGUGUUCCGGCAUGAAAGAUUCAUUUCAGAUUGUUUGAAAUUGCCAUGAACUUGUUUGUUUUUUGUUUGUUUUCUGCAAUUCGUCUUGUUGUGGAGCGUCUAGACUAGCAUAUCUGAGUAAGGGUCUAACAGUUUGCGUAUUGGCCCAGUCGAAGGUACUGGAGGAAGUCUGAUUGGUGGCGAUCGUGUGCCCGUUUUAGUGAUGGUUAGUUAGAGAACGCUGCCGUAAUUGUUGUCACAGAAGGAGUGAUUUAUGUCUCCGGCUCUUUUAGUUAAAUUUCGUGUCAGAAACAAAAAGGUUUUCCAUUCAGGGUUCCCCAUCUCUCAUACCGGUCUGUUACAGCAGUAGUCAACGGCGUACAAAGAAUUUUUUAUAUCAAGGUUUUUUUUCUCAUUUAAAUGCUGCAGUGCAUUAAUGUUAGUAUUUGUUUUUGUAAGAGUUGACUGGGGAAGUAUUGGGUUUGUACAUGCAUGGUGUUAUUUAUCAUAAGAAUACAAGAACAGACAUGGGAAACAUUGGGAGGUAAUAGAGGGGGGACAUGUGGAAGGAGUAGGAAAUGAACCUGGGGCCUUUCUUAUCAUCACUAGGGGCCGUAACCAUGACAGAGGUCCAUCAUCCAAUUUGAUAAAUCUCGAGAAUUUAAUCCGAUCCUUUAAAGGGCUGGCUAAGAAUGCUGUGGAAUUUUUCAAUUUAGGCAACACAGUAGGUAGCUAUUGGUUAUAGCUCAAAAUUGUCACGAGUUACGUGUUUGAAUCUUGUAGGACAAUGGAAGAAUAAGAGGGUAGGAAGUAGAAGUGCAGAGAAAUCAGAAAUCUUUGGAAUAGUCCAGUAAAAUGCGAAUGUAUAAGAAAAGAAACGUGGUAAGUUGCAAUUUUAUUUUUCAACGGGAUAUUUACAUCCAUCAGGAUGAUUCCAUUCAUAGUUGAAAUGUUUGGUUAGUAAUGUAACUAUAAUUGCGUAUUAUAGAGACGUUACAUAGUGUUUAAGGAUUGAUCCACCGUAGUGUUGGUAGUUUUAAAUGGUACACGCGAAUCUUUCAGUCUUCAUUCUGCAGUGUUGUGUUAGCAAUGGAGGAGUAGGGUUGUCGAAUUUGUGUUCUGGUCAUCCGUGUGGACAAUCGGUUUGACUGAGUGUGUGCUUGUCAAGGUUGUUUUAACUCUUACUUUUAUACGGCAGUAUAAAACUAAAUCAAUAAAUGUGUAAUUGAAAAUAACUUGUGCCUAGUUUGU